AUGUACAUUCCUACAACAUAGCGUUAAUGCAUAAGAUCCCAUUAGAACUUCGCAGUUAGCGUACUCGGGCUAGAGUAGUACUGGGAUGGGUGACUGCCCGGGAUGUCCUUGUGUUUUACAUG
rnacentral:rRNA from 1 species